rnacentral:sRNA from 1 species
GUUUAGCAAUUGCGUUAACGAUUGAAACGACAUCUUUUUUUGCUCUUUCUGCAAAAAAGAUAAAGUGUAAAGCGUGUAAAAAC